rnacentral:rRNA from 1 species
UACCUGCAGCCCGAGUGGUGGCCGUUAUUAUUGGGCCUAAAACGUCCGUAGCCUGUUUGGUAGAUGCCUGUGUAAAUCGAACGGCUUAACCGUUCGAACUGCGGGUAGACCGCCAGACUUGGGACCGGGAGAGUCACGAAGUACUCCGGGGGUAGAGGUGAAAUUCUGUAAUCCUCGGGGGACUACCGGUGGCGAGGGCGUCGUGAUAGAACGGCUCCGACGGUGAGGGACGAAGCCCUGGGGCGCAAACCGG